AUGCAGCACAUCGCAGCACGGCAGCAGCACAGUGACUCAGCAAAACCUCCCCAGCAGAGCACGACUCAGCACCCCAGCAGGCACAGUGGGGGUUUUGCCCAGCAGAGAGCUGCUGCCUGCCCUCUCCUUCCAGCCCAGCUCUCAGCAGAUGUCCCAACACCCACAGAUUCCAUCUUGACAAACCAGAAAGAGCUAGAAAUUGGUGACAAGUCUGCAUUUUGCACAGCUGGAGAAGAAGAUUCACAGCCACUCCAUUUCCUGCUGGCAACAACUCAAAACUACAUGAAAAAGAAAAAGAAAAAGAAAAAGAAAAAAAAAGAAAAAGAAAAAGAAAAAGAAAAAGAAAAAGAAAAAGANNNNNNNNNNNNNNNNNNNNNNNNNNNNNNNNNNNNNNNNNNNNNNNNNNNNNNNNNNNNNNNNNNNNNNNNNNNNNNNNNNNNNNNNNNNNNNNNNNNNAAAAGAAAAAAAAGAAAAAGAAAAAGAAAAAGAAAAAGAAAAAGAAAAAGAAAAAGAAAAAGAAAAAGAAAAAGAAAAAGAAAAAGAAAAAGAAAAAGAAAAAGAAAAAGAAAAAGAAAAAGAAAAGUAAGAGAAAUUGAAUAUAUUUCUUUUUUGGCCUAUGUUGGAAAUGCAGACUCUUCUUAGCUAUCAUUUCUUGUGUUGUAUUAUAUUAUAUCAUUUCUCUAGCAGCAUUACAGCAGUGAUAGUGCAAGAGAUAAAAGUCAAAACCUAGAAAAAGGAGUUUUGGUCAAAAAUGGAUGUUUGUAUCUGAUUUGCAUUUCUGAAAUAUCUUUUCAAAAAGCACACAGGCAACUGGUGCUGAAUAAGGGAUUUCUAUGUCAGAAACACAGUUCUCUUAUCUCCCACUGAAGUGUUAAGGGUUCAAAAAAAUUACCCCUUCUUUUUCCCCAGUGUUCCUGAAAAAAAAAAAAAAAAAAGCCAUAUUUGGAAACCCAAACAGGUUUUCUGAAAGAGGGAUAAUCAUAUGAGAUUUCAUAAUAUUCCUGCAAGGGCUGUCACAUGGAGAUUAAUAGAUUUCUAUGCAGUUUCACUUCCAGUGUUUGCAAUACAUGCACUGAAGCUGUACAUAUGGGAUAGAUAUAAGAAUGGCUAAAUCCAGCACUGCAAGAUUCUCAACAAAAGGCCAGGCCCCGAAUUAUUUCUGCGAUCUCACACAUCCAUUUACGUCCACUUUCCCUAUGGGCAACUUAUGUCUGUGUAGAGGAAGAACAGAAGACACUGGUCUGCUUGAAAACGACACGGAUGGCACCAAAACAUUUUCUGACGUUUUAGUUUCUCAGGUUAGGGGCUGCCUUGCCUCCGAUAGGCAGCAUGCUGUGAUGGGGCAUGCAGCAGCACGCCGCUACAGGAGCCGAUCCUGAAGCAGAUGUUGCUGCCUGGAAAACCUCCUCGUCUGCGUUUUUUUUUUUUUUUUUUUUUUUUUUUUUUUUUUUUUUUUUUUUUUUUAUGGAACCAGAUCACUAAACUUGCAAAGAAAUUUGCAAGAGAUAAUUCAUGGGAUAAUAGAGGUAAUUGAUGGCUGUUCUGGGACCAUUAAACCCUUUUCAUUUACUACACUAUAGGCAAGAUUUUUAACUCCUCUUCAGAUGUGCAAAGCCAAUUCAAUGACAUACUGAGUCACUAAUUGCCUUUAAAGUUUCAUUAAAAACAGAUGCCUUGCUAAAGAGCAAAUAUUAGUCACAGUCUGAUCAAGGUGCAGCUAGAGUUCUGAGCACGGGCCGAUAACACAGCUAAUGAUGUGGAAAACAGCUGCUAAUGCCGGCAUGGCAUUCUCCUCCGCGCAGCUACAAUUAAUAUUGAUAAACGCAAAGUGUGCCUCGUGGAAAUGCAUCCUGUUGGCUGCGUAAUCAGAAUACUGAUGAAGAAAAAAAAAAAAAAAAAAAAAAAGUGAACCAUUGAUACAGUGUUCAUUUUCUUCUUUCCUGCUUCUAAUAUGCAGUGAUGAAACUGGUGUAGUGUCUACCAGGGGCACAUUCUCAUGUGCUUGCUUUUUAAAAUUUGUAAGGUAUUUUAAUUUAAGCAAUAUUCUACAAAACUAAUAAUGAAAAGUAAUAAGAUGCCAGACCUGUCAUAAUCAAAACUUCCCUUGUUAUGCUAUCGUGUGUUUUUGUGUUUUGCUUUUUCUCUCUUUAUGCUCACUCUGUAUAAUGAAGUACUUCAGGUAAUACAUUUCCAGCAGUUUAAUUGCUUCCACAGAACACAGGCUUUCUAGAAUGAUUUUAUGCAAGAAAGAUCAUGGCCUUAACUGUUUGACAGGGGCUUAUCUCAGCCUAGUGUGUUCUGGUGCAGCUAGGUAGCACAUUCACAAGUUAUGUGCAAGUGAGAAUAUCAUCACAUCAGAUAAUGCAAAGUACUGAAAAUGUUUUUGUUUGUUUGUUUGUUUGUUUUAGGAGGGCUGGGAUGGGGAGCCCAUGACACGUGCCACAGGGCAGGUGAAGUUGAAGUACUUGUAUAUUCUUGGAAAAUGAUGCAACUGCUAACUCCAGAUACCUUAAUCUACAUGAUGCUGGUGUUAGGGGAAUGGUUGGACCAGAUGAUCUUGGAGGUCUCUUACAGCCUUAAUGACUCUAUGACUAUGAUUCUAUGAUUCUGCCAUAUUCCCAUUUUAUUCAAUCUGCUUUGCAAUGGGUUUAGACUAAAUCCAGUCUUCUGGAAUGAAAGGCAAUGCAAACUAACUAAUAAAACACAGUAUAAACUGUAACUUCCCA
rnacentral:lncRNA from 1 species